AAGAUUUUAGGUUAAAAUAAACCAAAGGCCUUCAAAGCCUUUAACAAGCCAGCAAAGCUUAAGUCUUG
rnacentral:tRNA from 1 species